rnacentral:ribozyme from 1 species
AUCCGAUAACUCUGCUAAUGGGGUAGGAUCCGAGACCCUGCAAAGGGUUACAUAGGCUCUCCUACUCAACUCCUAUUCCGUCACGUCCCCGUCGUGCAGAGUGGUAACCUG